CACACCGCCCGUCACACCAUGGGAGUUGGAUUGACCCGAAGGUGGUGAGCUAACCCGCAAGGGAGGCAGCCAACCACGGUCGGUUCAGCGACUGGAGUG
rnacentral:rRNA from 1 species